UCAGGUUGAAGGCACUGGUUUUCAUUCAAUCCCCAAAGUUAAGCAGCAUUGAGUCUGGUCAGUACUUAGAGAGUGACCACUUGGAAACACCCAGUGG